UUUGGUCCUGACCUUAAAGUCAAUUAUUACUUAUCUUACACAUGCAAGUUUCCGCACCCCUGUGAAAACACCCUUUAACCCCUUUAAGGGGCAAGGAGUUGGUAUCAGGCACAAAUUUUAGCCCAAGACACCUAGCUAAGCCACACCCACAAGGGAAUUCAGCAGUGAUUAACAUUGAACAUAAGCGACAGCUUGAUUCAGUCAAAGUAAAGAGGGCCGGCUAAUCUGGUGCCAGCCGCCGCGGUUACACCACGUGGCUCAAAUUGACUAAGCUCGGCGUAAAGCGUGAUUUAAGGAAAUACUUAUUGGUGCUAAAAAUAUACUAAGCUGUGACACGCUUGUACUUAAGAAAACCAAAAACGAAAGAUACACCAACCUGACCCGCUUGAACUCACGACAGCUAGGAAACAAACUGGGAUUAGAUACCCCACUAUGCCUAGCCGUAAACUUUAACUUACAUUUUUCUCGCCAGGGAACUACGAGCUAAGCUUAAAACCCAAAGGACUUGACGGUACCCCAAAUCCAUCUAGAGGAGCCUGUCCUAUAAUCGAUAACCCCCGCUCAACCUCACCACUUCUUGAAAAUCAGCCUGUAUACCUCCGUCGUCAGCUUACCGCGUGAGCGCCCCAAGUGAGCUUAAUGCCCAUACACCAACACGUCAGGUCAAGGUGCAGCUAAUGAAAUGGGAAGAGAUGGGCUACACUCUCUAUUUAUAGAAUAAACGAAAGACCACAUAUGAAACCUGGUCAGAAGGAGGAUUUAGCAGUAAAAAGAAAGCAGAGU
rnacentral:rRNA from 1 species